AUUGCAUCGUUUGGAUUUGGAAUGGUCCCCAAAGGCCUGAGUGCUAAGAAAUUGGGCUCCAGAGUGUCACUGGAGGGAGACUGUGCAGACUUCAAGAGCAUAGCCAAGGAGAGGAUGGUUUUGAUCUACUGCCUGAAGACAUGCUGUGUCACCACCAGAGCCCAAACAACUGGACAGAGCCAGCACCAACCAAAACCUACAAAGCUGUGAGCCAGAAUAAAACCUUACUCUGUAUCUGGUUUAUCCCUUCCCAGAAGACAAACUGCAACCAGAUGAAGGCCUUAUUGUCAUCCAAACUUGCCUGGAACUAGUUAAGGAUAAACGGACUCUCCUGUCUGUACCGCUGUAUGUCACCACUGUGUGUCACCACACCCAAGCUUACUUAGUGCUGGAGAUUAGUCCACUGCUUUCUGUCUGCCAGGCAAACUUUCUACUCCCUCAGGAACAUCCACAGCCACAACUACAAAAUUGUGUUCAUUGUGAGUCAAGUACUCUGUAUAUAUAGUCAUCAUUCUUCCGGUCCAAGAUCACCUAAAGUUGUCAUCUUUUUUUUUUUUCAAUUGAGAAUACAUUGGUGGAAAACACCCAGUUUCAGAUUUUUGUGAUGGGAAACGUUGUCAUCUCAAGAGGAAAUUCUCAGUCACAUGUAGAUUGCCUUGGAAAAAUAGAUUCCACUAAAUAUCUUUACAUUAUUUAAAUGAUGUUGUUUGUAUAAGUACAUUUAUAAUGUUCACUAUUUUCUGUAACUUGGGGAAAUGAGGCAUAGAAAGACAAAAAGCAGAGAGGCAAGGCUACAAAAGGUUGAGAGACUGAAGAAAGGGUCUGCAAGCUGGAAAAUCGAUAACUAGCUGCUAUUUAUUUCUCCCCAAAGCCCAUUUUAUUGCAAAGCAAUUUUUAAUCUGUAUUUGACCUAAAGACCAGUGAAGGAAGAAGAAAAAUACUUUUUCUUCAGUUACAUUAGGGCUACCUCAAUUGUGUUUAAUUCCAACAUACAAUUUCAAUUUUGAGAUUUACCAAGUGGGAUUCCUAGGGUAGAGAUUGAUGGUCAUUUGGCCUCUUUUCUCAGUGGUUCAGUUGGUUUUGCAGAAAACAAGGACUCUUGUUUGAUUUUCACUGUGCCCCAUGGAUCAACUCCAUUUCCAUAAUUGAAUAUUACAGUAUGGGUAUGUCUCUUCACCCCCACAGGUGUGUGCAUGUGAUUCUCUGCAACACCCACAUGACAUCACCAACCUGUUUGACUAUAAAAACCCUGGAUGCCUUCCUGGGCAAAGUAUUGAUCGUGAAUAGCAGAGAAAUUAAAUUUGUAUCUUUAUCAUAUUAAAUCUAGAUGAAAUUAUAUCAUCUGUUGUUCUGUAUUAUAAAUUCUGAGUGUUUGUACAUUGAUCAUGCUGAGAAUUAUACUUUGAAAUUGGGUAGAAAAGUCCUUAAUGAUUUUUUUUUUGUGACAUGUUGGUAAUUAAAUAGUGAGAAAAAUAAUUCCUGGACUUGAAAAGCAAGGUAGCAAAUGAAGGUUUUAUGCACAAAAUAAUAUCCUGUCACCUUCUGCUUAAACAGCACAAAUAUCUGUGGAGCUACAAAGGCUUAUCAGUACAUUUUAAAUGUUUGAUUAUUUACAGAUAUUGAAUAUCUCAGCUGUUUCAAAAGAACAAAACAGUUAACAAAAAUGUGUUCAUUACUUAGCUAGGAAAUAAAAUAAUUAGAAUAUAAUGAAUGCUGAGUGUGC
rnacentral:lncRNA from 1 species